CCUACGGGAGGCAGCAGUGAGGAAUAUUGGUCAAUGGGCGCGAGCCUGAACCAGCCAAGUAGCGUGAAGGAUGACUGCCCUACGGGUUGUAAACUUCUUUUAUCAAGGAAUAAAGUGCGGCACGUGUGCCUUUUUGUAUGUACUUUAUGAAUAAGGAUCGGCUAAGCCCGUGCCAGCCGCCGCGGUAAUACGGAGGGUCCGAGCGUUAUCCGGAUUUAUUGGGGUUAAAAGGUGCGUAGAUGGGUUGUUAAGUCAGUUGUGAAAGUUUGCGGGUCAACCGUAAAAUUGCAAUUGAUACUGGCAGCCUUGAGUACAGGUGAGGUAUGCGGAAUUCGUGGUGUAGCGGUGAAAUGCUUAGAUAUCACGAAGAACUCCGAUUGCGAAGGCAGCCUACUAAACUGCCACUGACAUUGAUGCUCGAAAGUGUGGGUAUCAAACAGGAUUAGAUACCCCUGUAGUC
rnacentral:rRNA from 1 species